CCCUUAGAUGUUCUGGGCCGCACGCGUGCUACACUGAGGGGAUCAGCGGGUCAGGUUGCGCGAAAGCGUUUCCUAAUCUUUAAAUCCGCUCGUGAUGGGGAUUGACGGUUGCAAUUUUCUGUCAUGAACGAGGAAUACCUUGUAAGCGCGGGUCAUCAUCCCGCGCUGAAUACGUCCCUGCCCUUUGUACACACCGCCCGUCGCUCCUACCGAUUGAGUGGUCCGGUGAGGCUUUGGGAUCUGAGCGGAAAGAGCGUUUCGCUGUUUCUGCUCGGAAAACUCAGUCGAACCUUAUCAUUUAGAGGAAGGAGAAGUCGUAACA
rnacentral:rRNA from 1 species